rnacentral:tRNA from 1 species
GUAAAUAUAGUUUCAACUCCAAAAACGCUAGACUGUGACUCUUGAGAUAGAGGUGGAAGUCCUCUUAUUCACC